rnacentral:misc_RNA from 1 species
UGGCUGAUGACGUUCUCA